CCAAAUUUAAACUUUUUCAAUCAUAAAUAAAAACCAAAUAGUAUUGUUUACAAAAUGUUUUCAAAUCAUUUUCCAUCAGAGUGUCCCAAAAACCAUAACAUAAGGAUGAGGAGCGGUACGGUCACGCCUUCGCCUUUCCAUGAUCUCCUGAAGUAUCUGAAACAAUAAACUGAAAACUGUAAGCUCGAGGCUUAGUGAGCUACCCCCAAAAUACCAAUACCACAUUGACAAUACCAUAUCAGUAACAAUCAAUCAAUCAUCAUGCAUAUUGGGUCAUCGGCCUGACUGGACCGCCCUACCGGGCCUACAGUCCGUUUGAAAAAAGAGAAUAUUUAUCAUAUCCAUUUGAGAAAAUUUUAUUUUCUUAUCAUUUGUCAAAGGAACGAAUUAUUCAAAUUUAUAUUAUGAAGUGUACUCAAUUGUACAAUACUUUGUAUUUUCAUAAAUAUAUUAUAAUGGAACAUUUUAGUUGUUACAUGCUUGUUUUCAUCUUAUUUCUUCUUCAUUUUCAUGUCUGAUAUAAUUCAAUCAAUUUUCGCAUUAUUGUCAUUUUUAUUGUUUCUAUGGAAAUCCAAACUAAGAACUUUUGACAAAAUAAUUUUUUACACAAAUCAAUUGGAUUUUUUAAACCAUAAUUUUUCAAUUGGCAUUUUGGUAAUUUGACUAUAACACCAAAUAGUCUUUUAUCAAUAGGGUUUGACCUAGGUUACAUUGGAGGUGAUGGUACAUUUUAUUAAUUGUUUGGAAUACCAAGCUGCAAUAUUUAUGGAUAACAGACGAAAUCAUGCAUGUUUUUGGGAAGGGAGAACCAUAUAUAUUCUCUCGUGAAAUUUUUAGUGUUUUUUUUAUGCCUCUCAUUAGUUCCAUGCAGAGAGAAAAGACUUGAAGCUGGAGGCUGGGAUGUAAAAAUAUUCAAACUUGAUGGUAAAAAUCGAAACAAAAACUUUUUGGAUGAGUUUUGGACUGGGGAAAUAGUUAUGGGACUGGGUAUGGGAUUUUUUUCUAAAAGUUUUCAUGGGUUUAGGAUGAUUAUGAUAUUACAGUUAUACCCGUCCAAUUAUGGUAACUCGAAUUACCCAUCCUCGAACCAUUAUAUUCUUAUAAUACUUAAUUACUUUUAUUGUUAUUAUGUAUGAUUUCAAAGUUGUAUUAUAAUAUAAUAUGUGAUACUAGAAAGUUUGUUAUGUAAUUAGAAAUUGUUAGAUUUCUUUAAUAUUUAUGUUAUGAUCUUUAUUAGUUUAUAAUGAAAUUCGGAUAUUAAUAAAUUUUGUUUGGUGAUGAUUAUAUUUAUAUAGUAUUUGUUAAAUAUUAAACUUGUGGAUGUUUUGCAAAUUAAAGUUGUGGAUGUUGUUGCAAACUGAAAUUAAAAUAUUCAUGUCAAUGUAAUGGAUGAGAUUGUGAUUGAGUUUUAAGUAAUAAAAUUUCCAACGGAUUAAUUUUAACAUAUUAAGAUGAUAAUUGGGACACCCUGAUUCCCUGAAGGAUGUGAAAGGAUGUCUGUCCGAUACAAUUUUUUAACCUGGUGUAUAUAUGGUGGUGUAAUCAAAAAAAGUUUAAUUUUGCUAAAAAUAAAGUAUUUUAGACAACGAUUUCUUUGUGGUUUUGGUCAUAUAAAAUAGCUAACUUUUUUAUUUUAUAUCCUCUUUACAGUUUUUCUUUUAUUUAAUUUAAUUUUGACAAAAUUAAAAAAUGGUCCAUAUAGGUUCUAAAAGGUUAUGUUUAAGCAAUUUUACCCUAAUGAUCCUUUUUUACUUUAAAAUCUUGUAUAGCCACUUUUAUAAAUUAACCGUUAAUUAUAUGUUAAAAAACAUUUCUACGCACCCGACCGCAUGCACUUUUUUUUUUUUUCUUUUUCUUAUGUUACCCUUUUGCUAAAGCCAUAUUUUCUUCCCCCUUAGUCCUUUCCCACCUCCCACAACUCCGAAAUGGUUUGAUUUCUUUUUUGAAUUAGCUCAAUUCGUAUAUUUUCAAUUUUUAUAAUAUAAACGUAAAACUAUAUGUCUCUUCUUGUUUGCAAAGUAAAAAAAAAUAACCAGAAAAGUACAAAAUAAAAAAACAAAAUAAACCGAUUCAAUUCUGAUUCCAAACCAAACGAAUAAAAACUUCAUUCAAAUUCUCAAAAAAGCUACAAAAAUCAUAUAUUUAGAAAGAAAUUCAUCUAUGCAACAAUCUUGAAGUGCAAAAAUGGAUAUGCUAAGAGUAAUAUACAAUAGCAUGAGGUUAUAGACAGAAAGUCUCAACAAAAAGUCAAAGUAACGAAUGUUACAAUACCGCAAGUCAAAACUAGAAGCCUCCACCAUCGACCGUUCUACCAAAUUCUCGAAACCCUAAAGCUUCAUUAGUGUAAUAAGCCGCUAGACAUGAGAUUGAAGAAUCGCCUCUAAGAGACACUAACAAAAUCUAAUAAAAGAAUUACACAAUUUUUGUUUAAAGAAUAAGACUAAUGUAAGGGGUUGAGGAGGUGAAAGAAAUGCUUUUUGGGUUUGUUUGAUGAAUUGCAAUCUUGAAUGCUUCAAAGAACUCCAUUAUAAACUCAAACCCCACCUCCAUUAGUUUCAUCCAUAUUGCCAUUUUCCCAGCCAUCUCUUUGUUUUUGUUUGUAUAUGUGUUGUAUAAACAUGCAUCUAUGUGUGUGUAUAUAUAGUGUUUGUAUAAAUGAAGAAAUUGAAAGGAACGAAGUAGGUUUUAUAUGCCUAUUGGAACCUUGAAGGGGCAUACAAAAUAAACUAAUAACUCAACUAUUGAUAUUGAAUAUGUGGUGCAGAAUAUGCAUGGAAUAUGUACGGGAAAACAAAAUUGACCCUAGCUAACACUUUAUCAAUAUACUAUGCAUGCCUUAUCCUCUCAUAAUUUUAUUUAAAACAUAUAUUUCAAAACCACUAGACUUAAUGCGUAAAAGUACCAUUAUUUAUUGUUAUGGGAAAGCAACAAUGUAUCCAUAGGUAUUAGUUUAUUUCACACAUUAAUAUAAAAUGAAACGAGAAUCAAUUAAACAAAAUAUAAUCUGAUAUGAACGUUAAUACAUAUAAAAACUUCACCCAUGCAUCUAUACGAUCUGGUUUGGCUUAAUCAAACGAUUCUACCUUUGUAGACUAGCUAGGACCAAAUCACCGAGUGAUAUCCGUGAUUUAUACAUAAUCCAUGAGGGAUCGAUCAACCCUACCAAUUCUGGUUAUUAUAAAUAAUAAAAGGUCACGUAUAGGUAAGAAAAACAUGUUUAACUGGAGUUGUAAGUACACAUGUGGUUGUUAAUUAAGACUAAAAAAAAACGAUUUUAAGCAACUAGGACAAAUUUUGAAGAAAGAUGUAGUAUAAAGGAUCUUAGUAUCCCGAUUAGAAACAUAAGAUCAUGCGAUCUAUCUCUUUAAAUUAGUCUGUAUCCUAUAGUUAAGUCUCCAAUAUUUAUAAAUCUUUGGAAAUUUGUUACUUUUGCUCAAAAAUCACAUGCAGUGAUUCACCCAUUUAACUCGAUUAAUCAGAAUCAAGAAUUGUUUAUCGCAGAAAACCUCCUAAAAUUUACGAAUUCAAUUAUUCAUCUCUAAUUUAAAAGAAUAUAUAUCAUAGACAUAGACACAAGUUAGUACCUUUUGGUAUUUGUGAUUUUUGAAUACUGAUGUGCUCAAAUAAUGGCAUUUGUUUAUUAAAAUGGCAAUGAGCCUACAAUGGAAUAUCCUUUAGUAAAGUGGCUACUCUUGCACUUUCAACUGUAGCGUACAUUGUUUUAUCAUGUUAAAAGUAAUUAUUAGUGUUGAUUGAAAAUGACAAAUAAUUUAUUUUAAGUUACAAAAGUUAUGCAUAAAGCAAGUUGGUUGAUGUUUAUCUAGAUUAGGAGAUAAAUAUAAAGAAAAAAUCUUUUAAGUUUGAUCUAAUGCCAUUAUAUAUAUAUAUAUAUAUAUAUAUANNNNNNNNNNNNNNNNNNNNNNNNNNNNNNNNNNNNNNNNNNNNNNNNNNNNNNNNNNNNNNNNNNNNNNAGCUGUUUACUCGUGCCAAACAACGCGUGAUAAUAGGUUUUUAAGAAAUUAGUUUUUAGAGGUGAUUAGUUUUUUUGUGUAAUAGUACCAAACAUACAAAAAAACCACAUAUUAGCCAAAACAUAUGUAUUUACAAAACAUAAACAACAACACUAACACUGUAACACCGUAUAAAUAAUAUGUAUUUACAAAAUUAGUUUUUUAAUAUUUUUAAGUUAGGUUUUACCCACAUAUGGUGUUGUUUUGAAAUAUCAGAGGAGGUGGUUAGAUGUGGUCAAGGAUUAUGAUUGUGAGAUCUUGUACCACNAAGGCCAACGUGGUGGCCGAUGCGUUGAGCCGCAGGGCGGAGAGCACUCCAUUGCGAGAUGUAUGUUUGAGAUUGACCAUGAUAGCUCCGGUAUUGGAUGCCAUUCGUGGGGCACAGGCCGAGGCUGUGCAGCCGAAGAUGCAGAAGAGGGAACGGGUCGUUGGUUUGGUUUCAGAGUUCAUUACGGAUGGACGAGGGCUUAUGACUUUUCAGGGUCGGAUUUGGGUACCGUUUGUGGGUGGUACGCGCACUUCUUUGAUGGAGGAGGCUCAUCGUUCGAAAUUUUCGAUCCAUCCGGGGGCUACAAAGAUGUAUUUGGAUUUGAGGAAAGAGUAUUGGUGGCCCUGUAUGAAGAGGGACGUCGCAUGGUUCGUUGAGAGGUGCUUGACCUGCCGUAGGGUUAAGGCCGAGCACCAGAGACCGCAUGGCAAGUUGCAGCCAUUGGAGGUUCCCGAGUGGAAGUGGGAACAUAUCACUAUGGAUUUCAUCACCAAAUUGCAGAGGACUGCCAGAGGAGUUGAUGCAAUUUGGGUGAUUGUGGAUAGGUUAACGAAGAGUGCUCAUUUCCUUGCCAUCAGUGAGAGUUCUUCAGCGGAGAAGUUGGCGGAAUUAUAUGUGAGAGAAGUGGUAUCUCGGCAUGGGGUGCCGAUCUCGAUUGUUUCGGACCGUGAUGUGCGUUUCACUUCCAGAUUCUGGAAGAAAUUUCAUGAGGAGUUGGGUACUAGAUUGCAUUUUAGUACCGCAUAUCAUCCCCAGACAGACGGUCAGAGUGAGCGGACGAUUCAGACGCUUGAGGACAUGCUUCGAGCAUGUGUGUUGGAUUUCGGGGGUAGCUGGGAUGCGUAUUUACCCUUGGCAGAGUUUUCCUACAACAACAGCCAUCAUUCGAGCAUUGGUAUGCCACCCUUUGAGCUGUUGUAUGGUAGGAGGUGUCGGACCCCCAUUUGCUGGGGAGAGGUUGGGCAGAGAGUGAUGGGCAGUACAGAGAUCGUGCUUCAGACGACAGAGCAGAUUCAGCAGGUCAGACAGAGGUUAUUGACCGCCCAGAGCCGACAGAAGAGUUAUGCAGACAGACGCCGGUCCGAGCUUGAGUUUCAGGUCGGCGACUUCGUUCUCCUGAAGGUCUCUCCUUGGAAAGGAGUGAUUCGAUUCAGGAAGAGGGGCAAGUUGGGGCCCCGGUAUAUUGGGCCAUUUCGUGUGAUUGCGAGGGUAGGCCGGGUAGCCUAUCGUUUGGAGUUGCCAGCAGAGUUGGGGCAGAUCCACGACACUUUUCAUGUGUCGCAAUUGAGGAAGUGUAUAGCCGAUGAGUCGGCAGUGGUUCCAUUAGAGGAUAUUCAGGUGGAUGCGAGCCUGAAUUAUGCCGAGAGACCAGUGGCCAUCAGAGAUCGGAAAAUCAAGGUUCUGAGGAACAAGGAGGUACCCCUGGUGUUGGUUCAGUGGCAACACCGGAAGGGAUCAGAGAUGACCUGGGAGCCGGAGCGCGAGAUGCGGGCUCAGCAUCCGGAGCUAUUUUAGAGCGAGACUUCGAGGGCGAAGUCUAAUCCUAGUGGGGGAGAAUUGUAACAGCCCGGAUCUCCAGGUAUUUUAUUGUUUUAAUAUUUUGAGUUUUGAGAAGGGACUCGGCGAGUUGGAGCUCAGACUCGCCGAGUAGGGUCGCGAUUCUGGACGCGGGAUUCGUUCGGACUCGGCGAGUCCAGGAUAUGGACUCGGCGAGUCCACGCUGUUUAAUGAAACCCUAAUUUCUCGGGUUUGGGACCUAUUUAAAGGGCCUUAUGGCCGUCAUUUGUGCUCACCAGUCCCUUGAGUGAAACCCUAAUCGAGUGUGAGCGUUUGGAGCAUAGAAGGAGGCUAUUAUUGAUCUUGGAGGUGUCAUUUUGCAAGGAAAGAGGAAAUCAGCCAAGGGGAAAGCAAGAGGAGCCAUCUUCUGAGGAUUUGGAGUCCAGAGCAUCUCUAUUGGGGUAAUAUUUCGAGCUAUUCUCUUCUAUGUUGGUGUUUUCAUUGAUUUAGGGUUUAUUGAACCCUUUUGUGGCUAGAUCUUGUGCUCCCUUGGACCCCUAAGAGAUUUAGACUAUAGAUCUGGACCCCUAAAGGUCCAGAGUGUCCCUUUGCCCAAGCUUUUUGGGAAUCAAUGGAAGUUUUGGGUUGGAACCCUUAUGCUUUAGAUCAAAAUGUUCAUUAUAAGCCAUGGGGUGUGUUAUGGACACCAAGAUAGGGACUUUACGUGGUGAAUCAGUCUUGAAAGGCUAGAUCUAUGAAUUGAUGGAACAGAUCUGACCUUAGAAGCGAGUUUGAGUAAUUGCAUGGCAUGGACUCGCCGAGUCCGAUGAGCAGACUCGGCGAGUAGCUUGAAGAUUGCCUUGGAUCGGCCAGUGAGUGAUCCAGUCGAGUCACGGGUUGACUCAGUGAGUCAGGACGAGUUAGAGAGGGUCGACAGGUGGUCUGAGUCGAGUUGGGACUCGCCGAGUCGUUCUUGAGACUCGGCGAGUUGAGUCGGGGUGGUCCCGCGAUUCUUCCAGGUGGAACUCGUCGAGUCAGGGGGAGUACUCGACGUGUAGAAAGGGAAUCCUAGAGAGUUGGUGAGAACGUCUAGACUCGCCGAGUUGCCGUGUGCACUCGCCGAGUCCGGUCAAAGUUGACCGUUGACCGUUGACCUGUGUUGACUUCUUAGGGAUAGUCAACCUUAGAGAUAUAAAGUGUUAAUUAGAGUCAUGUGAUGUUAUAGGAGGAUUAGAGCUCGGAGGAUCGAGCACGAGGGAUUUCCAGGAUUCGUGAGAUACCGAGAUACGCGAGGUGAGUCUUCUCACUAUACUUUACCUUGAGUAGGUAAUCAGAUCUAUGUGUUAGUGUAUGUAUGUUAUGUGUAUGCUAUGUGUUGUGCUGCAUUAUUUCUAUGUGAUUUAUGUUGUGCAUGUUACAGAGUUGGAACCGGAAGGUUCCUAGAGUUAGAACCUGAAGGUUCACAGAGCUUGGGUGCACGGACCCAUAGAGUUAUAGCCUCGAGUGGCUAAUAUGUGUUUAUGUGUGGUAUUUUGGGGAACUCACUAAGCUUCGUGCUCACAGUGUUAGUGUUGUUGUUUCAGGUACUAGCGAGGACCGUGGGAAGGCGCCAACUUGAUCUGUACACACGCAGGGGACUUUUGAUAUUUUUGUGUGAUCUUGGGAUUUGUAUGAUGCAGAUUGGAAUUUUAAACUUAAUAUUUUUAUGAUAAAAAUACAUAUAUAUAAGAACCUUCACAAAAAAACAUAUUAUUUAUACCAUAUGUGGGUAAAACCUAACUUAAUAAUUUUAAUAUUUUUUGUGAUCUUGGUGAUAUGAUGUUUUUAGAGGUGAUCUGUACACACGCAGAGGGACUGUUGGUAUUAGUUUUUACGUUGUUGACGGAAUACAUAUGUUCAAAACAUGUAAGACCACUAAUAUGUGAUAAAAGUUUGUGAAGGUAGUAUCGCUCUUCUUCAACGAGAUUAGAAUAAACCAAACGACCUUGCAUUAAUCAUUGUUUUCAAGUAUUCAAAAUGACUUGAGCUCAGAUUAUACGUAGCUUUUUUUGGAAAAUAUGUGUAUCUAUAUUGUCUCGCAGAUAUCUUCUUUAUUUUUAAGGGAAAAAAAACAAUCAAAUUAUUUAUUUUUAUAAAAAAAAAUUAUGCAAAAUAAGCAUACUAAUUAUGUUGUUUGUUUUUCAUCAAUAAAAUGCUUAAAAUUUGGAAAGCCAAUGGAUGUAGAUUUAUAGUUAUUGCAGUUAGCACCUUANNNNUAUGUUAAAUAUAAUAAUAAUAAUAAUAAUAAUAAUAAUAAUAAUAAUAAUAAUAAUGUAUUUUUUUAAUCUCAUACCUCAAAUAUAAUUCUUAAUAGUUUAUACUUUAUGCAUUUGAGAAAACCAUGAUGUUUUAUUUUUUUUUAUAUGUAGGUAGUGAUAAAUGGUGAUUUACAUCUCUACUUUUUUUUUAACUUAAAAAAACCCGUCUUUAUUUAAUUUCAACCAAAAUGAUUAUAAAAAAUUAAAUAUCGAAUUUUCAUAUCCAGCCUAAGUAAUUAUAAAAAAUUGUAAAUUGGUUUUGUAUUGCUGCUACUAAACAUUAAAAAAAAAUUUAUAUCAAUUUAACUUUUUAUUAAAUAAUUCUAAUCUUUUUUCUUCAUUUAGAGACACAAUGAAUUUGUUCUAAAACAAAUAAAAAACAUUUUUUGACUUUGCUUAUUACAUCAUCGUGUGUGUAUGAUUACACUUAUAUAAUUUACUACUAUUGCAUUUUUGUUCCUAGUGUUGAUAUAUAUUCACUCUUAUUAUAUAUAGCUCUAAUAACAAAAAAAAAAAUCGAAAUCUUGGAUUAGAUUUGAUAUAUCUAAGUUAAAAAGUUUUCAAAUAAGAUAGAUACGUUGUCAUAUGAGAGUGUAUAGUUUUUGUAGUAUUAGAAUCAAUUAUUAUUCCUUUCAUAUAUCAUCAAUGAGUCGUAGCUUAUUCAGGAUUCGAAUGAAUAUUGUCCCAAAGAAUAACCACUUAUUACUCCAUAGUUUGACUCAAUUCCUUCCACAUAUUAUGAUGAUCACUCCUAAAACGGGAACCACUUAUCCAUCCAAGGGUGUUAUGGAUGCAAUUACUUGCAUUGCAGUAAAUUAGAGGUUGGUGUUGUGCUGGAAUUUUGAAAUAUUCCUACCUUCUUCAUUUUGCACUUGAAAGUUUGACAAAUCUCCAUCAUCAACAAACCUUUAUAUCUAUAACAUCCCAAAUUUCAAAAGUCGAGUUAAGGGCUAAAAGUGUAAAUUGAAGAAGGGACUCGACGAGUAGGUAUACUUACUCGUCGAGUCGGAGCGGGUUUGGGUCACGAAUUAAGUGACCAACUCGCCGAGUCGGAAGCUGGACUCGAAGAGUUGGUGCUGGAAUGAGAAAAACCUUAAUCUUCGGGGUUGCACCCUAUUUAAAGGACUCAAUGUCCUCCCCUCGGCUCCCUUAGCCCCCUUUGAGAUCCAGUAAACCUUAGCUCAUGUGUAUAAGGCUAUUGGAGGGAGAUUGAAGCUUUGAGAGGUGUUCAAGUGGAAGAAACUUGAAGAUCAAAAGAGUUUGCAUCAAGAAAGUAGUGUAGAUCUGGGAUCUACUGCAGUUUUGGGCACAUCGUGGAGGUAAUGAGCCGUUACCUUUCCUUUGUUGCUUCUAGACCUAUUCUUGAAUGAGAUUUGGGGCCAUUUUGGUAUGAUUGAGAUCCAUUUCGGGUUUGGAGUUCAGAUCUGAGGUUGCUACUCCAGAUCUACACUUAUGAUGGCCUAAAAUGUCAUAAAGUAUUAGUCUUUGGUGUGUUGGUGAAGCAUGUUUGCCCCAAACCCUAGCCCUAGAGUGUUUUAAGCCUAUAGCUCCUUGGUUUCACAUAAAGUUUGCAACUUUACGUGAGGAUUAGGCCUUAGAAGUGUGGAUCUACAGUUUGGAGCCCUUGCAUGGCUCGAAAAGUCACUGUAUGGAUUAAGAACUGAAGCUACUCGACGAGUUACAUGGGUGGACUCAGCGAGUUGUAUGAAGAUAGGCAAGAACUCGACGAGUUGGAAGAACAACUUGGCGAGUCUGUUAGAGAUUGCUUUGGACUCGGCGAGUCUGUUCUCGGACUCGACGAGUUGGAUCUCAGAACCCCAAUCCUUCUAGUUAAGACUUAGAUUGGUGAGUUGAGCGUUGACUCAGUGAGAUGGACAGGAUGGGACUCAGAAAUCAUUGAACUCGAUGAGUCGUCUGGGUGACUUGGCGAGUUGAGGUGUGUUAUGAUAGUUUCAGAGUAUAAGGACUCGACGAGUCAACGGGUUGACUCAGCGAGUAGAGUCAGUCAGGAAGUUUGACUUUGACCAGGACUUUGACUUUGACAAGAGUGGACUUAGUUGACUUCUAGAGUUCAGUUUGGAUCUAAGUGAUAUAUAUAUAUAUAUAUAUAUAUAUAUANNNNNNNNNNNNNNNNNNNNNNNNNNNNAUAUAUAUAUAUUGGUAGCUCGGGGUGCUAGUGGAGCAGCAGUUCAUAGAGUUUUCGGAUAGCAGCCAGAGAGUUAUCAGCAUAGUUCAGCAGUGCAGGUGAGUUUCCUUCCAGUAGGAACGGUUCUACGGCCAUAAUGUCGACCCGUUUAGUUAGUAGUAGUUCUGGACUUCGGUCUGAUGCAGUAGUAGUGUGCUUGAUGUCUUUGUGAUUCAAGCAUGUUUGUGUUAUGUGUUCCGGACCCUGGUCCGAUGCAAUAUGCAGUAUAUGUGUUCAUGCUAGUUGAUAUGUUUAUGCUAUGUUAUGUACAGUUAGUUCCGGACCUCAGUCCGAUGCAGUUAGUUCCGGACUCGGUCCGAUGCAGGGGACAAGAUCCCAGUUAGUUCCGAAUUUCAAUCCGAUGCAGUUUUCGGACUUCGGUCCGAUGCAGAGGGCAAGGCCCUGGUUAGUUCCAAACUUCGGUCCGAUGCAGUUUCCAAACUUCGGUCUGAUGCAGAGGGUAAGGCCAUGGUUAGUUUCCGGACUUCAGUUCGAUGCAGUUUCCGGACUUCGGUCCGAUGCAGUGGGCAAGACCCAAUAUGUGCUUUAUAUGUUAUUGUAUGGUAUGUGGUAGAUUAGGGGAGCUCACUAAGCUUCGUGCUUACAGUUUUCAGUUUUGGUUUCAGGUACUUAGUUUUCAAAAGAGGAGCUCGGGAAGAUUGGAGUGCACACACCAUAGUUAGCCAGCCUGGGAUGUUUACUCUGAUAACAAGAAUAUGUUUUGAAUUAAUACUCUGAACUUAUGUUAUGACUUAUGAUAUGGUUUUUAUAAACAUGGUUUUAGCAAUGUUUUAAAGGAAAUUUUUGGACUGUAUUUUGGGACGUUACAAGUUGGUAUCAGAGCCUUGGUUUGAGGGAUUCGGGCACACUUCGGGUGUGUCUGAACUCAAACUAAGGAAAUGGUAUGAGGUUUUCAAAAGAAAAACACGUUCGAAAGGAAUUUUUAAAAAAGAAACUUAAAAAUAAAGGAGUUUUAGCAUAAGCGAAAAGAAUGUUUAGAAAGAAAUAACUUUGAAAAGGGAAAAGGGUGUGGUGCAUGCAAUCAACCGAGCUCGAGUAAGUACUCCCAAAUUACCCAUACAAGUUUAUAUUAUGAUUAUCUGUUUCAGUUUCAGUAGAACAACAUACUAGAAUAGGACUAAGGAUCUAGGAGGAUGACUUAUGUGGCUGCUAUAUGUGUUUCAGCUUUAUGAGAAUUACAUGCUAGUAUUGGGUAGACAGCAGUAGGAUAGCCUGCUUAGGUUAUGUCUGAUAGUAUGAGCUUAGCAUUGUAUGCUAGUACAGUUUCUCGUUAUAAGGAUAGAAUUGUUUGAGUAGUUUCCUGUGUCUGAAUGCUGCUUGCUUUGUGCUUUGUGGGACUCCGAAUGAUGGGAGUUAGCCAUUAGGUGAAUACGACACAUCACAUGUGAUCAGGGUUGAAUAAUCUCAGAGUGUUAAAUUUGGCCCUAUUGCGCAGCUCUCGUCUGAGUCUAACCGUUGUAGGGACGAGUCUUUUACUCGAAGGAUUAUUUGAGCCUCGUCACAUGUGAUGGUAUUCAGGUGAUGGCUAAUGGACAUUACAAGGAGGCCUUCAGUAGCUGAUGAUUAGUUAGGGUGGAGUCAGAGAUUUUCCCUAGGGCAAGCCUAGGAUGAGAGUAGCAGAGAUCAAUAGCAGUAAAAGGGACUUGGUAGAGUCAAGGCAGUUCUCGAGGAAAGUACGGAUAGUUGUGGAAGGUAGUAUGAGCCUGUACUACUGAAAGCAGAGGAUCUGUACUCGAUUCAAGAGGAGCCAAGACAAAGCCAGGGAACUUGUAGUGUGUAUGUGUAAUCCCUCAGCAGUGAAGUGUAUUUUGAUAGUUAUUGUGAUGUGUUUUCAGCAUGGUGACAUUGCGUGAGAGACCAGUGGGCGGGUCAGGCGCCAGAGAGGGAUCAGGCUCAGGUUUAGGGACCGAGCAGCUCGAGGAGCGUAUGAGAGAGUUUGUAUCAGCAGAGAUUACGCGCAACAUACUAGACCAGACUCAUGUGAUCUUUGGCACAGUCUAGGAGGGUAUACUGGAGAUUUUGGAUGAGAGGCUGGGAGCCUUCCGUAUCGAGAUGAUGGCUUUGAUGGGAGUGCGUACGUUAACAUUUCGAGAUUUUAGAGCUUGUGGAGCACCAGAUUAUCAUGGGGGUAGGGACCCCAUUGCUAGCAGCAGAUGGUUGGCAGAUGUUGGCAACGUUUUCCNNNNNNNNNNNNNNNNNNNNNNNNNNNNNNNNNNNNNNNNNNNNNGGGGGACAAGGUCAGACUCGCCUCUUGUCUUCUGAAGGGCAGAGCGCGGGAUUGGUGGGAGGAGGUUGUUCAUGCCUUGGGGGAUGAUGUCGUGUUGGACGCGAUGCCAUGGAUUGAUUUCUUGGCUAGGUUCAUGAUUGAGUUUGCACCAGCUAUUGAGGUGCAGCAGUUGGCAUGAGAGUUCCAGGAUCUUCAGCAGACCACUAAGACGGUGGUGGAGAUCACCACCAAGUUCAGGAAGAGGGCUCUUUUGAUUUCGCAGUAUGUGGUGGACGAGGAGAUGAAGAAAGCUCGAUAUCAUGAAAUACUGAGAUAUGACAUCAGGCAGUUUGUGAGCAGGUCCAACUGAAAAACGUUGGAGGACAUGAUUGCUCGGGCCAGAGAGAGGGAGAUUGAUCUGGAGCAGAUCAAGAAGAUGAAGCAGGAAGAAACACUCUCUUAUGGGGUUAGGUUUAUAAGAACGACCCAAGGGAUUGGAGGCUGAAAUGAUGAGAUUAAAUGAUCCAUAAAGAUUUUUAAAUACUCCUCAAACCCUAAAAAUUAGGGUUUCACCUGGACAUUAGUAUGCCUAGCAUACAUAUGUGUACGCCUGACGUACUAGGACGCGCCCUAGUAUGGUUAGUGUACUCACAUGUACGCCCAACGUACAACUCCUGCUCUAAAAAUUACCAUUUUGCCACUAGGGCUACAUCUCUAUAAUCCAAGGACCAAAAUGACAUACUUUAAAACCAAAUGAGGGAUUUGAAAAUACCUGAAAACCCGGGAUGUUACAAAAUGAAGAAGAAAAAUGGAACCUGGUGUUGGGUGCGACGGAGAUGUGGCUAUCGAAUGCAUCAGGUCGGUGUCUUUAUAAGGGAGCAACGACGAGCAAGGGAGAGUCGACGUAAGGAGAGAUAGCGAGAGGUGAUGUUGUCAACAAAGGUAUGUGUCUUUACAGUAUAAUAUGGUGCAUUGUAUGAUAGUAUGCAUUUCAUGGUUACAUAAUGAUAAUUGAAUGGAUAUACAUGAUAUUAGGAAAAACAUAUAAAAAAAUGUCUACAUGUUACAAUAGUAUGCGUUUUAUUAGGAAAUUGUAUCGGAUAGUAAUUGAAUCAAUCGAUCAAUACAUUUAAUGCAUUAAUUAUAAUUUUGUUAUAUAAAUCGAAAAAACCAAUUACAUAAAAAACCAGAAAAUUAUAUACGGUAAGAGUGACAUGUGACAAAAUUUAUUUUUCUUUGGGGUUGAUUUUGGCAAAAUUAAGAAAUGGUCUAUAUAAGUUUCUAAAAGGUUACGUUUAAGAAAUUUUACCUAAUGAUCCUUUUUUAUUUUAAAAUCUUGCAUAGUUAUUCCUUUUAAUUAUGUACCACUUUUAAAAAUUAACCGUUAAUUACAUGUUAAAAAACAUUCUACUCCUCCUCCUCUCAUGCCCCGCGCGUCCACUUUUUUUUAUCCACCUCUUGCACCUUUUUUUUGCUAAAAAGAAAGUCUUUUAGUCUAAAAUUUCUUUUAACUUUGAUUCUAUCCAAAUAAAAUGACUAACUUUUCUUUUUAAUAUCCUUUUUACAAUUUUCUUUUAUUACGAUUUAGUUUUAGCAAAAUUAAAGAAAUGGCUUAUGGUUCCAGCAAAGUCAUGUUUACGAAAUUUUAAGAUAAUGGUAUGUUAAUUAUGUGUUAAAAAACAUUUCUACCCACCCCACCGCAUGCACUUUUUUUUUCUUCUUAUGUGACCCUUUUGCUAACACCAUAUUUUCUUCCUCCUAAGUCCUUUCCCACCUCCCACAACUCAGAAAUGGUUUGAUUUCUUUUUUGAAUCAACGCAAUUCGUAUAUUUUCAAUUUUUAAAAUAUAAACGUAAAACAAUGUCUCUUCUUGUUUGCAAAGUUAUAUAUGUAUAUAUAUAACCAGAAAAGUACAAAAUAAAAAAUAAAAUAAACCGGUUCAAUUCUGAUAAAAACUUCAGUCAAAUUCUCAAAAAAGCUACAAAAUCAUAUAUUUAGAAAAAAGUUCAUCUAUGCAACAAUCUUGAACUGCAAAAAUGGAAUAUGCUAAGAGUAAUAUACAAUAGCAUGAGGUUAUAGACAGAAAGUCUCAACAAAAAGUCAAGGUAACGAAAGUUACAAUACCGAAAGUCAAAACCAGAAGCCUCCACCCUCGACCGUUCUACCAAAUUCUCGAAACCCUAAAGCUUCAUUAGUGUAAUAAGCCGCAAAACAUGAGAUUGAAGAAUCGUCUCUAGGAGACACUAACAAAAUCUAAUAAAAGAAUUACACAAAUUUUGUUUAAAGAAUAAGACUAAUGUAAGGGGUUGAGGGGGUGAAAGAAAUGUUUUUUGGGUUUGUUUGAUGAAUUGCAAUCUUGAAUGCUUCAAAGAACUCCAUUAUAAACUCAAACCCCACCUCCAUUAGUUUCAUCCAUAUUGCCAUUUUCCCAGCCAUCUCUUUGUUUUUGUUUGUAUAUAUGUUGUAUAAAACAUGCAUGUGUAUAUAUAGUGUGUGUAUAAAUGAAGAAAGUGAAAGGAACGAAGUAGGUUUUAUAUGCCUAUUGGAACCUUGAAGGGGCAUACAAAAU
rnacentral:lncRNA from 1 species